AGAGUUUGAUCCUGGCUCAGGAUGAACGCUAGCUACAGGCUUAACACAUGCAAGUCGAGGGGCAGCAUGGUCUUAGCUUGCUAAGACUGAUGGCGACCGGCGCACGGGUGAGUAACACGUAUCCAACCUGCCGUCUACUCUUGGACAGCCUUCUGAAAGGAAGAUUAAUACAAGAUGGCAUCAUGAGUCCGCAUGUUCACAUGAUUAAAGGUAUUCCGGUAGACGAUGGGGAUGCGUUCCAUUAGAUAGUAGGCGGGGUAACGGCCCACCUAGUCUUCGAUGGAUAGGGGUUCUGAGAGGAAGGUCCCCCACAUUGGAACUGAGACACGGUCCAAACUCCUACGGGAGGCAGCAGUGAGGAAUAUUGGUCAAUGGGCGAGAGCCUGAACCAGCCAAGUAGCGUGAAGGAUGACUGCCCUAUGGGUUGUAAACUUCUUUUAUAAAGGAAUAAAGUCGGGUAUGCAUACCCGUUUGCAUGUACUUUAUGAAUAAGGAUCGGCUAACUCCGUGCCAGCAGCCGCGGUAAUACGGAGGAUCCGAGCGUUAUCCGGAUUUAUUGGGUUUAAAGGGAGCGUAGAUGGAUGUUUAAGUCAGUUGUGAAAGUUUGCGGCUCAACCGUAAAAUUGCAGUUGAUACUGGAUAUCUUGAGUGCAGUUGAGGCAGGCGGAAUUCGUGGUGUAGCGGUGAAAUGCUUAGAUAUCACGAAGAACUCCGAUUGCGAAGGCAGCCUGCUAAGCUGCAACUGACAUUGAGGCUCGAAAGUGUGGGUAUCAAACAGGAUUAGAUACCCUGGUAGUCCACACGGUAAACGAUGAAUACUCGCUGUUUGCGAUAUACUGCAAGCGGCCAAGCGAAAGCGUUAAGUAUUCCACCUGGGGAGUACGCCGGCAACGGUGAAACUCAAAGGAAUUGACGGGGGCCCGCACAAGCGGAGGAACAUGUGGUUUAAUUCGAUGAUACGCGAGGAACCUUACCCGGGCUUAAAUUGCAGAUGAAUUACGGUGAAAGCCGUAAGCCGCAAGGCAUCUGUGAAGGUGCUGCAUGGUUGUCGUCAGCUCGUGCCGUGAGGUGUCGGCUUAAGUGCCAUAACGAGCGCAACCCUUGUUGUCAGUUACUAACAGGUUCCGCUGAGGACUCUGACAAGACUGCCAUCGUAAGAUGUGAGGAAGGUGGGGAUGACGUCAAAUCAGCACGGCCCUUACGUCCGGGGCUACACACGUGUUACAAUGGGGGGUACAGAGGGCCGCUACCACGCGAGUGGAUGCCAAUCCCCAAAACCUCUCUCAGUUCGGACUGGAGUCUGCAACCCGACUCCACGAAGCUGGAUUCGCCUAGUAAUCGCGAAUCAGAAUGUCGCGGUGAAUACGUUCCCGGGCCUUGUACACACCGCCCGUCAAGCCAUGGGAGCCGGGGGUACCUGAAGUGCGUAACCGCGAGGAGCGCCCUAGGGUAAAACUGGUGACUGGGGCUAAGUCGUAACAAGGUAGCCGUACCGGAAGGUGCGGCUG
rnacentral:rRNA from 1 species